rnacentral:rRNA from 1 species
UCCAGACUCCUACGGGAGGCAGCAGUGGGGGAUAUUGCACAAUGGGGGAAACCCUGAUGCAGCGACGCCGCGUGAGUGAAGAAGUAUUUCGGUAUGUAAAGCUCUAUCAGCAGGGAAGAAAAAAGACGGUACCUGACUAAGAAGCCCCGGCUAACUACGUGCCAGCAGCCGCGGUAAUACGUAGGGGGCAAGCGUUAUCCGGAUUUACUGGGUGUAAAGGGAGCGUAGACGGCAAUACAAGUCGGAAGUGAAAUACCCGGGCUCAACCUGGGAACUGCUUUGGAAACUGUAUGGCUGGAGUGCUGGAGAGGUAAGCGGAAUUCCUAGUGUAGCGGUGAAAUGCGUAGAUAUUAGGAGGAACACCAGUGGCGAAGGCGGCUUACUGGACAGUAACUGACGUUGAGGCUCGAAAGCGUGGGGAGCAAACAGGAUUAGAUACCCCCGUAUC